AGCGAACGCUGGCGGCAGGCUUAACACAUGCAAGUCGAACGCCCGGGCAACCGGGAGUGGCAGACGGGUGAGUAACGCGUGGGAACAUACCCUUUGGUUCGGAAUAACUCAGGGAAACUUGAGCUAAUACCGGAUAAGCCCUUUUGGGGAAAGAUUUAUCGCCGAAGGAUUGGCCCGCGUCCGAUUAGCUAGUUGGUGAGGUAACGGCUCACCAAGGCGACGAUCGGUAGCUGGUCUGAGAGGAUGAUCAGCCACACUGGGACUGAGACACGGCCCAGACUCCUACGGGAGGCAGCAGUGGGGAAUAUUGGACAAUGGGGGCAACCCUGAUCCAGCCAUGCCGCGUGAGUGAUGAAGGCCCUAGGGUUGUAAAGCUCUUUCGGCGGGGACGAUAAUGACGGUACCCGCAGAAGAAGCCCCGGCUAACUUCGUGCCAGCAGCCGCGGUAACAC
rnacentral:rRNA from 1 species